CCUUCGGGUCGUAAAGCCCUGUCAGGUGGGAAGAAAGGAUCUAUCAAGCAACGGGUGGAUUUUGACGGUACCACCAGAGGAAGCACCGGCUAACUCCGUGC
rnacentral:rRNA from 1 species